GAUGAAGAACGUAGCGAAAUGCGAUAAGUAGUGUGAAUUGCAGAAUUCAGUGAAUCAUCGAAUCUUUGAACGCACAUUGCGCCCCUUGGUAUUCCAUGGGGCAUGCCUGUUCGAGCGUCAUUUGUACCUUCAAGCUUUGCUUGGUGUCGGGUGUUUGUCUCGCCUCUGCGUGUAGACUCGCCUUAAAACAAUUGGCAGCCGGCGUAUUGAUUUCGGAGCGCAGUACAUCUCGCGCUUUGCACUCAUAACGACGACGUCCAAAAGUACAUUUUUACACUCUUGACCUCGGAUCAGGUAGGGAUACCCGCUGAACUUAAGCAUAUCAAUAAGCGGAGGA
rnacentral:misc_RNA from 1 species